GAUGAACGCUGGCGGCGUGCCUAAUACAUGCAAGUCGAGCGAACAGACGAGGAGCUUGCUCCUCUGACGUUAGCGGCGGACGGGUGAGUAACACGUGGAUAACCUACCUAUAAUACUGGGAUAACUUCGGAAAACCGGAGCUAAUACCGGAUAACAUGUUGAACCGCAUGGUUCAACAGUGAAAGACGGUCUUGCAGUUACUUAUAGAUGGAUCCGCGCCGCAUUAGCUAGUUGGUAAGGUAACGGCUUACCAAGGCAACGAUGCGUAGCCGACCUGAGAGGGUGAUCAGCCACACUGGAACUGAGACACGGCCCAGACUCCUACGGGAGGCAGCAGUAGGGAAUCUUCCACAAUGGGCGAAAGCCUGACGGAGCCACGCCGCGUGAGGGAAGAAGGUCUUCGGAUCGUAAAACGCUUUUAUCAGGGAAGAACAAAUUUUUAAGUAUCCAUGCGAGUCUUGACGGUACCUAAACAGAAAGCCACGGCUAACUACGUG
rnacentral:rRNA from 1 species